rnacentral:rRNA from 1 species
UACGUAGGGGGCGAGCGUUGUCCGGAUUUAUUGGGCGUAAAGAGCGUGUAGGCGGUUCGGUAAGUCUGUCGUGAAAUCCUGAGGCUCAACCUCGGGCGUGCGAUGGAUACUGCCGGGCUAGAGGGUGGUAGAGGCGAGUGGAAUUCCCGGUGUAGCGGUGAAAUGCGCAGAUAUCGGGAGGAACACCAGUGGCGAAGGCGACUACCUGGCCCAUUCUUGACGCUGAGGCGCGAAAGCUAGGGGAGCGAACGGG